UGGGGAAUAUUGCACAAUGGGCGAAAGCCUGAUGCAGCAAUGCCGCGUGAGGGACGACGGCCUUCGGGUUGUAAACCUCUUUAGCAAGGAAGAAGCGAAAGUGACGGUACUUGCAGAAAAAGCGCCGGCUAACUACGUGCCAGCAGCCGCGGUAAUACGUAGGGCGCAAGCGUUAUCCGGAAUUAUUGGGCGUAAAGAGCUCGUAGGCGGUUUGUCGCGUCUGCUGUGAAAACCCGAGGCUCAACCUCGGGCCUGCAGUGGGUACGGGCAGACUAGAGUGCGGUAGGGGAGAUUGGAACUCCUGGUGUAGCGGUGGAAUGCGCAGAUAUCAGGAAGAACACCGAUGGCGAAGGCAGAUCUCUGGGCCGUAACUGACGCUGAGGAGCGAAAGGGUGGGGAGCAAACAGGCUUAGAUACCCUGGUAGUCCACCCCGUAAACGUUGGGAACUAGUUGUGGGGUCCAUUCCACGGAUUCCGUGACGCAGCUAACGCAUUAAGUUCCCCGCCUGGGGAGUACGGCCGCAAGGCUAAAACUUGAAAGGAAUUGACGGGGUCAU
rnacentral:rRNA from 1 species